rnacentral:lncRNA from 1 species
GUUAGGAGUAGAAUAUUUUUGGGUGGUUCUGGAGAUGGAAAUGGGUGGAUAUAUGUGGAUGCGUACUUCCGGAGUAGAAAGCAGCAUAUGUAAGUGAACGUGCAAGUGAAUCUUGAUUUAACCACAUGACAAGCUCCUAAGGGUCUACACAGCUUGACCACACUCAAUGCUCAUAAGCGGUAAAAAGUAAAUGUGUGGCUCAAAGUCUAGCAAGCAUGUAUAUAUGGCUGUGGUAGGAAUUUAAACUCUCAUCAUACAGG